UCAAGUACUUUGCUUUGUCUUGGCUAAUGUCCCAGGUAGACGAGAAGGUACACUGAACGCACUCCUAGUCGGCUCACGCACCAAAAUGCAAGAUGGAGUAGGAAGUUUUGUACUCAAAACUGCUGUCGCGAUUCUGGUGUUCGCAGGGAGCUGUGACCGUCUCGUGCGGCAAAAGGAGAGACAACAUUUUUGAGUCUGCUGCAUCUUUCUUGGCUCCCUUCAGAAUGGAUAUACUGCAAGGGUUAAGCUGGGUAUAGAGAUUGAAUUGGUUUAUGUAGUUGAAUCGCAAUGUGCAAUAUCUGCUGGGAGAUAUCAUUUAUAAAAAUACGAAAUCAGAUGAGAGUUGAAGGAAGGACACAGUCAAUGUGGAGUGGCUCUAAGAAGAAAGGAUGAGCUCACCUUCAAAAAGCCUCUUAUUUCUGCCACUGGGUCCUGGGAUCUUGCCACAGUACCAAAUAGGCGAGAGUGGAUUUCAGAACUGCCCUGCCUUGCCAGACCAACACAGUUGACCACUAAGGAUUUCAUCCCCUGAAAUGCUACCAUGUUAUCCCUGUUAGGAAACAUCCCCAGAAGUGGAGCCUUAGGCUAGAUACUGGAAAGUUAUUGUCACUUUCUUUUGUUAGUCACAUAUAAGAAAAAGGAGGGAGGGGUUACAGGGAUUGGAAACAGAAGGCUGAUUAAUUUUGCUUCCUGCAUCACCUUGGUUGGAAGUGCUGCAGCUUGAUGCCAGGGUGCCUUUAUGGAUCAUCACAAGGCCCAGCAGCUGAUCCACUUGUGCUGUAAGCAAGGAAGGAUUGCUUGCAGACAGUCCCUAAUCCCACUCUUUUUCUUUUUCCCAGUUCCCAGAAAAUAUGCCUCUGAAGGUCAGAGCAAACUCCCUAAAAUAUCCCCGACACCCUCUCCUCACUAAUCUCUUGGUUCCUAAUCUCUUGGCUCUGCCCAGUUCUGUGACAACAUCAUGUUGCUGUCCUACGCAACGCAGCUCUUGGCUGCCAAAAUGUUUUUUAGUAAUGUGGGCUCCCAGGAAUCUGUGAAAAGAUUCCCUGCUCGGGCUAAAUAAUGCAUCAGGCCUCCUGCUUUCCCUUCUUUCUCAGUAACUUGUCUAGGGCUGAGGAGAUACCAUCCAAAUGUUCUUAAAAUGCAAUUCAGUAUUUCUGACCAAUAGCCAUGUGCCUGGAGCUUUUUACAGUUGGAGCCCAAAAUACUUCGAGUGCACAAAUUGUGUCUUUUUGUGCUAGAUUGAGUUCCUGGUCUUCAUGCUUCUUCACAGUCUGCUUCUGGAACCUGACCCUUUGCUCCCUUAAAUUGUGCUGCUUGUGACAUUUGCAUUAUUGGCUCUUGUUCCUGGAAACUGCUUCUUUUCUUGCUGUAGAAUAUUACAGUUGGUUAACUGUUUCCUCCUCUAGUUUCAUUUAUGAUGUCAGCCUCCUGUCAAGCCCAGCACAGUGAUUGGGUUUACACAUUGUGCUAAACCAUGGUUUGUUUUAAGCCCUGAUUUGUAAAUUACUUCCAUACUGUUCCUAAGUAAACUGCAUGGACAUUUCCAUCAGGAGUCAAGGUUGUCUUUACUUUGUUGAAUCAGUCACAGGUUCAGAUGUCAUGCUAAGGAAUAAAUCAUGGUUUACAAAGUCUACAUGACACACUAAGCCAGCAUCAAAUACAUUUAUGUCUUAAUGCAAUAUAUAAACCCAGUCAUUGUAAAGAAAUUAUAAUACAGUAGAAAUAACUGUCUCAGAAGGUGGCAGCAGCUGGCCAACCUUAUCUGACCUUGGUUAGUACGUGGAUGGGAGACCACCGGGUAGUCCCAGGG